CAGUGCCAAUCUAUAAAAAGGGAAAUAAGGACAAACUGGGGAAUUACAAACCAGUCAGCUUAACUUCUGUACCCGGAAAGACAAUGGAGCAAAUCAUUAAGCAAUUACUUUGCAAACACCUCGAAGAUAAUAAAGUGCUGAUCCUGUUUGGUGCUUGAGCAGCCAGGGCCAGGCUGGUUCUCCACGGUCUCUCCUGCUUCGCCGGCCCAGCGUCUGGAACCCGGUCGGACCGGUCCCUGCGACGUCCCCAGGCUUGUUCCUCGCUGCGUUAAUUAGCCAAGCGACUCCAGUUCCUGGAGGAAGCCUCGUUUCACCGCCGGGCCGGGCCCAGGGCAGGAUCAUCAUCAGCCAGCCCCUAACGAUGCCCGCCAGGCGGCCGAGGUUGGCUCGGGCGUGUCAUGCGCGUUGCAGGCAUCCGGGGUGUCUCUCCUCGUGGCUUGGGACGCGGCUGCAAUCCUCCCAGCCCGAGUUCGCCUGGUUCCAACUCCCGGCCCUCGGCCCGGUGGGACCUGCCUCUGCCAGUCUGAGGAGCCCGUUGUGAACAUUCGCUCCCCACGCCGGCACUCGCAGCCCGGGGUCAGUCACCCCUUCGCCGUGCAGCUGAGCUCCUGGAGUCUCUCACUCGAAGGCAGGUUUUGAAUCCUUCUCGCGGCUCUUCUCUGACCCCUCUCCGAUGUAAUCGCCCCCCUGCGGGUCGCAGCAGGGCCCGAUCCAGUGAUAAUGUCACCUCUCUGCCCGACGCGAGACUCCCGCUGACGCAGCCCAGGGUCGCAUUCGCCCCUUUGCUCACAGUGUCGCGCCGGGAGCUCACCUUCCGCUGAUUACCCACCACGCGCCCCCCAAAUCUGCUUCAGAGUCGCCGCGCCCCCGGAGAGAC